UUUUAAGUUAAGUUGGUCUAAGGAAAUUAAUGUGUGAGGAAUGUGAUAACUUAAUCUGAUUUCUUGUUUCUAAUUUCUCUCAAAGAGAAGUCAUCUUCAAUGGGGGAUUUUAAAUGAUGCAGAAACUUAUGCAGAUCUAUUUGGCUGUGUAGCUGAAAAUGACCAAGAGCUGUGUAAUGCCCUGGGGUUUAGGAUUUGGAGAAAACCAUCAAUGCUUGGAGAAUUCCUUCUACAUCAAGAUGUAAAUCCUUCUGCCGCCUUUGGAUGCUUCACUUAAAUGACUCUAAUCUAGUUCUGUCAGUCAAGUAGAUUGUCCACGAUCAUCUCUGGUAAGAAAAUAAUAUAUAUUUUUUGUAAGUACGUUUUAUGAAGUAGAUAUUUUUUUUAUUGAGAUGUACUCAGUAUAGAAAGUAAACCUGUGUCGUCAUAGGA
rnacentral:lncRNA from 1 species